rnacentral:rRNA from 1 species
AGAGUUUGAUCAUGGCUCAGAACGAACGCUGGCGGCGUGCUUAACACAUGCAAGUCGAGCGAGAAAGGGGGGGCAACCCCCUGAGUAGAGCGGCGCACGGGUGAGUAACGCGUGGGUAACCUACCCCCAGGCGGGGGAUAACUACUCGAAAGGGUGGCUAAUACCGCAUGAGACCACGGGAUCUUCGGAUCCUGAGGCUAAAGGUCGCACCGGCUUGCCGGUGCUGUCACCAGGGGAUGGGCCCGCGUCCGAUUAGCUAGUUGGCGAGGUAAUGGCUCACCAAGGCUACGAUCGGUAGCUGGUCUGAGAGGAUGAUCAGCCACACUGGAACUGAAACACGGUCCAGACUCCUACGGGAGGCAGCAGUGAGGAAUAUUGCGCAAUGGGGGAAACCCUGACGCAGCAACGCCGCGUGGGUGAAGAAGGCCUUCAGGUCGUAAAGCCCUUUCGGACGGGACGAGCGCUUCGCGGUGAAAGCCGCGGAGUCUGACGGUACCGUA